rnacentral:rRNA from 1 species
UGGGGAAUCUUGCGCAAUGGGCGAAAGCCUGACGCAGCAACGCCGCGUGAGCGAAGACGGCCUUCGGGUUGUAAAGCUCUGUCAGGAGGGACGAAGCCACUCAGGUGAAUAGCCGAGAGGGUGACGGUACCUCCAGAGGAAGCCCCGGCUAACUACGUGCCAGCAGCCGCGGUAAUACGUAGGGGGCAAGCGUUGUCCGGAGUCAUUGGGCGUAAAGCGCGUGUAGGCGGCCAUCCAAGUCCGAUGUGAAAGCUCGGGGCUCAACCCCGAGUCUGCAUUGGAAACUGGAGGGCUUGAGUCCGGAAGAGGAGACUGGAAUUCCUGGUGUAGCGGUGAAAUGCGCGGAUAUCAGGAAGAACACCGGUGGCGAAGGCGGGUCUCUGGGACGGUACUGACGCUGAGACGCGAAAGCGUGGGGAGCAAACA